UGGUAUCUUCGUCGCGGAGUCAUUCUUACUAAAGAUAACCUUAUUAAGAGGAAUUGGCAUGGAAGUCCGCAAUGUGUCUUUUGUCACCAUGAUGAAACAAUAAAACAUUUAUUCUUCCAAUGCAAAUUGGCUCGUUCUAUAUGGUCAGUCAUCCAAAUAGUUUCUGGCUUGUAUCCUUCGUGUAGUGCUGCUAAUGUAUUUGGCAACUGA
rnacentral:rRNA from 1 species